rnacentral:rRNA from 1 species
GACGAACGCUGGCGGCGUGCUUAACACAUGCAAGUCGAACGGAAAGGCCCUGCUUUUGUGGGGUGCUCGAGUGGCGAACGGGUGAGUAACACGUGAGUAACCUGCCCUUGACUUUGGGAUAACUUCAGGAAACUGGGGCUAAUACCGGAUAGGAGCUCCUGCUGCAUGGUGGGGGUUGGAAAGUUUCGGCGGUUGGGGAUGGACUCGCGGCUUAUCAGCUUGUUGGUGGGGUAGUGGCUUACCAAGGCUUUGACGGGUAGCCGGCCUGAGAGGGUGACCGGCCACAUUGGGACUGAGAUACGGCCCAGACUCCAACGGGAGGCAGCAGUGGGGAAUAUUGCACAAUGGGCGGAAGCCUGAUGCAGCAACGCCGCGUGCGGGAUGACGGCCUUCGGGUUGUAAACCGCUUUCGCCUGUGACGAAGCGUGAGUGACGGUAAUGGGUGAAGAAGCACCGGCUAACUACGUG